UCUCCGUCUCUCUGUGCGUCUCUCCCAUCUGUGUCUCUCUCUGUCUCUCUCUCUCUGUGUCUCUCCGUCUCUCUGUGUGUCUCUCCAUCUCUCUGUGUGUCUCUCCGUCUGUCUGUGUGUCUCUCCGUCUCUCUGUGUGUCUCUCCGUCUCUCUGUGCGUCUCUCCGUCUCUCUGUGCGUCUCUCUGUGCGUCUCUCCGUCUCUCUGUGUGUCUCUCCCAUCUGUGUCUCUCUCUGUCUCUCUCUCUCUGUGUCUCUCCGUCUGUCUGUCUCUCCGUCUCUCUGUGUGUCUCUCCAUCUCUCUGUGUGUCUCUCCAUCUGUCUGUGCGUCUCUCCGUCUGUCUGUGCGUCUCUCCGUCUGUCUGUGCGUCUCUCCGUCUGUCUGUGCGUCUCUGUCUCUCCGUCUGUCUGUGCGUCUCUGUUUCUCCGUCUGUCUGUGCGUCUCUCCGUCUCCCUGUGCGUCUCUCCGUCUCCCUGUGCGUCUCUCCGUCUCCCUGUGUGUCUCUCCAUCUCUCUGUGUGUCUCUCCAUCUCUCUGUGUGUCUCUCCAUCUCUCUGUGUGUCUCUCCGUCUGUCUGUGUGUCUCUCUGUCUCUCUCUGUGUCUCUCCGUCUGUCUGUGUGUCUCUCCGUCUGUCUGUGUGUCUCUCCGUCUGUCUGUGUGUCUCUCCGUCUCUCUGUGUGUCUCUCCGUCUGUCUGUGCCAGGUCAUUGAUAGAACAGGAAGAGGAAGUGAAAGACUUUCCCGUGUUUGCUGGAUCCUGUUCCUCACAAACCCUGAAUCUUUCACACAGUCUUAAAGUGAACUCCGUUCUGAUGUUUGAGAGGAGUGCAUGUGAUGUUUUGAUGUGGUUUGAUCUGAUCUUUGACCUCAGACUGCGGCUCUCUGAUGAUGAUGAUGAUGAUGAUGUUGUUGUGUUUCUGCAGGUCUCAGCUCUGGACCAGGAGAUCAUCGAGGUCGACACAGACACCAAGGAAAUGCUCAAGCUUCUGGUGAGAAUCGUUCAGUCGCUCGUCAGUCCCGUGUCUGAUGAACCUGUGUCGAAAGUGACUGUGGAGCCACCGUCUCCAGGUCAUUGAUAAAACAGG
rnacentral:lncRNA from 1 species